UGGAUCCUCUGUAACUUGGCAAAUCCGUCGCCUUUCUUCCACUGGAAUGGUCUGCAUUGCUGAGUCCACAUGGAUCCAUUGUAACAUGGUAGAUCUCCCCAUGAUUUCUUCUCGUCUCCAGUCUGCAUUGUUGCACGCCGAGGGAAGCUCUUAAUCUUACGAGAGAGCCGAGAGAGGCUUCGGCUGUCUGCACACGAAGGAGAUGCAAGAGAACCAGGAAUGCUAAAAUACACCCCGGGGACAUCAGCAGUAGUCUUCUUAACUCAGCAAGCAAUCCAAAGGCAUCCAAAGAGCGAUCAAUAAGAUGUGAACGGCAAGUCCUUUCCCCCCUGCAAGCUCCUCUAAUACAAACGAGACCUGCACUCCUUGCUAGACUGCUUGCCUUGCUUGCCUGUGGUGUCAGGUGUUUGUAACUGACUUGCUGCAAUCUGUAGAGUGACAGCUCCAGCCGACACAUUGACACCAUCUGAUUUCAGCUCCUUCUACAAAAAGAAACCGCUUCAAGAAGCUGCUUUAACUGUUUCCUAAGAUGAGCAAGGAGCCAUUUUAAGAUAUUGGAGUCUUGUUUUAAUGCUCAUGAGUGAUUU